rnacentral:lncRNA from 1 species
CAAGCCUUCAUGCGUUGAAGCAAAAACUCUCUCUUGUCCACAAUAAAUAUUUUGAUUAUUUAUUAAAAAAAGGUAUAUUUCAAUGGAAAAAGCUAUGGAAGAACAAAGCUUAGAAUUAUUAAACCUACCAGAACAGGUAUAUUUAUUUAUGAUUAUGAAUAGCUAAAUUCAUAAAUUCCUAACAAUCAUGAUAUGAUAAAAUAAGUUUAUGUUAGUUGCUUUAUAGUAAAAUUAUUCGAAAAAUAGCAUGUUAAGAAGUUUAUUAGCAAAGUGGAAAAGGAGAAAAAUCCCUAAGAACUAUGCCAUCCUAAAGGUGAAACCGNNNNNNNNNNNNNNNNNNNNNNNNNNNNNNNNNNNNNNNNNNNNNNNNNNNNNNNNNNNNNNNNNNNNNNNNNNNNNNNNNNNNNNNNNNNNNNNNNNNNNNNNNNNNNNNNNNNNNNNNNNNNNNNNNNNNNNNNNNNNNNNNNNNNNNNNNNNNNNNNNNNNNNNNNNNNNNNNNNNNNNNNNNNNNNNNNNNNNNNNNNNNNNNNNNNNNNNNNNNNNNNNNNNNNNNNNNNNNNNNNNNNNNNNNNNNNNNNNNNNNNNNNNNNNNNUACAGAUAUAAGAAAAAUCAUAUUGGAAAAAAUAUUUGAUAGAUAUUUUAUGACUAGAAUUAAUUAUAUAUCACACCUACCUAACUACUCUUAUAAAUACUGUCAUACCAAACCCACACAUCAACUAUGAUAAAUUAUGAAUAUUUAGAAUUUUGGAAAAUGGAUAUGAAAAAAUACAAUUAAUAGAAAAACUAAUGAAAACAAAUUUAGAAGAAUAUAUGAGAACUAAAGAUAUAAAAUAUAUAGAAUUUCUUAAUGAAAAUAUAGAGGAAUUAAUAGGAUUAAAACAAACAACUAAAAAAUAUUAUAAUAAAGUAUUUAACCAAUUUUAAAUGAUAGAUAAUCUUAAAAUAUUAAUCUUAUAUAUACUUAGAAAUAUAGAAAUUAUAGAUAUUAAGAGAAUAAUAUUAGAAAAAAUAUUAGACUAUGAAAUUGAAAUUAUAAAUUGGAUAGAACAACUAUACCUAGAUAAUUACCCAGAUGGAUAUUAUUCAGACUAAAAUGUUAGAAUAUAUUAGAAAAAUUAGAGAAAACCAAAGUGACCUAUAUGAAGAAAUUAAUUAUAGAAACCGACUCAAAGAAAUAAUGAAAAAUCUAAAAGAAAAAUUAAUAGGGAUAAAAGAAUCAUUAGAAAAUUUAGAAAAAAAUCCAAAUAAUAGUUUAUAUAACAUAAAAACUCAUUAAGAGAAGAAGAAAGAGAGAUAAUUAAUAGCAUUAAUAACCUUCGUACAUCAGAUAUAAGAAAACCAACCUAUAAUUACAAAAGUAAGUUUAAAAGAUAUAAUUCAAAGGAUGAAUAUAAUAAAUGGACACCAAGAUAAAUAACUAAUUAUAACUUUUUAGAUUUAGACUGUGUAAUAGACACAAAUAAAACAAUACAACUAUGGGUAGAAUAUAUAUCAAAAUAAUUAUUAGAUAAUAAGAUAGAUACAACAAAUACACCAGAAUAUAUCCGCCCUGUCCUUUCCAUGAAUGGCGUACGUUAGCAAUCGUACGCCGACAGAACACGUUAUUGUGAUCAAAUUUUUCUUUCAAAAAAUGUCUACCAGUUAAGAAUUUCAUUAAAAGGAAGGUAAAUAUGAAAAAAAAAAAAUCUCAAUAAUUUUGAAAAAUUUACUUAUUUUGAUUUAUAAAAUUUUUUCAACAAUUUAAGGAAAUAUUUGAUGUAUGAACUGAUGUAUGUUUUUUGAGUUUGAUAAGAUUUACUCCCUCUAUCUUAUUUUAUAUGAUAUAUUUUUUUAGUCCAUCUCAAAAAAGAUUGUUAUCUUAUUGUAACUAAAAAAAAUUGAUUUUAAUUUUUUUAAAAAUGAUUUACAAUCACACAAAUAUUCAAGGAUCAUUUAAGACAAUAAAUUUUAAAUAUUUUUUUCUUAAAGUAUCGUAUCAAAUUGAAGAGUGCCACAUAAAAUAUGACGAAUAAAGUAGCAAUUUUAAUUAAUAAUUUUUGAAAAUUAAAAAAUUUCAAAAUUUUGAAUUUAGUUUAAUUAGAGGGAAGUUGUGAAAAUGGAAAGGGACCAAUGUGAUGGUUGGUAAAGAUUGGGCCAGGGAGAAGAUACCAUGUCUGCAUGGCUUAUACUAAUCAAUUAUUUGUGGAUUGCUUUGACGCGUUGGAUUAUGGAUAUGUCGUCGCUUACCUCCUUUCUGAAUAACAUACUUCCCAUAUUUGAUAAAUUUUUAAUUUAGCAUCAUGAAAUUUAAUUUUUUUUUUUUUUUACUUUCAACACCUUUCAAGUCAAAACAAUUCAUUUUUUUCAAACGGAAAAAGUAUUUAUGAUAUUUGAUUAUGAUAUCAUUAUUUUUUCUAUUUUAUAUUACUUGAUCUAUAUUAAUUCGAAAUAUUAUUAAAUUUCAAUAAAUUUUUUUUUUAUUAAGCUAAUUUUAUUAAUAAUACUAUUAAAUUGUAAGUGUAACUAUAAAUAUUAUUUUAUAUAGUUAUUUAAUAUUAAAAAUAGUAUAGAAAGAUAAUAAUAUUAUUUUUUUGAUUUGUCGAAUAGACAAUUAAAAUAAAUAAUCUAUUUUUUUGAUAUAGAAGUUAAGUAAAAUAAAAUGAAGUGAGUAAUAUAUUGUAGUUUUAUUUCCUUUUGUUUAAAAAUGUUUUAUCAUAAUAUUUAAUAUUUUAUCUUGAAUUUUUCAAUUAUAUUUUUUAGUUAAACUAUUUUGAUAUACUGAUUCUUAAGAUGGAUGUCUACCGAAAAUAGUUUUCUACUUUCUAAGAUAAAAUUUAAAUAUAAAGUCACAUUGUUUUUUCUAGAACCUCCAAAAAAUUUCAGAACUUUUGUCAUAGUCGCUAUUUUUCGGAUAAAUAUUCUGUAGUAAACACUUGUGGUAACAUGUUCAACUAUGCAAUAAUUAUUAAAUCACACAAGAAAUAUAAAUUGCAUUCGACAAUCUCUAUAAGACGAGCUCAUGAUUGAGCAACAUGCAGAGGCUAAAUUGAACCUCAAAUCUUUAUCAUCUGUCAGUUACUCAAUCAUGUCUUUGCAGAUAAAAAAUGUUACUUAUAUAAUUACUAAUUACUCGUGGCCUGUGCUAAAAUCGAGUCCUAACUCUAAAUGUAAAAAUAAUAAUAUUUUAACUAAAAAAAUUAUUUUGUAUUAUAUUAUUUCACUGCAUAAUUAGCAAACCUGAUGACACAUCAAAUAUAAAUUGUUGGUAAAUAUUUAUUAUUUUGAUUUUGUCAAAAAGUUUAUAAUGACAAAAUAUAUAAAGAGUAAUCUAAUUUACUUUCUUAUCCAUAAUUGUUAUAGUAUUUUUAAUUUUGACACACUCUUUGAAAAUUAUUUUUCUAUAUAAAAUAAAAAGAGAUCUUCACUACUUUACCUUAAUUGAAUAGUGCCAAUUCAAUAUGACUUUUUAGUUAUUUAAGAAUUCAUUUAUCUUAUUUUUUAACUUUUUUUUAAUUAAUAUCAUCAUCAUUAUAUAAAAUAUAUUUAUACAAAUUAAGUAUAAAAGUUAAAAAAUAAAAUAGAAUAUAAUUCGGCGAAAGUAAAAAACUAAAAAUAUUCAUAAAAAGUUUGAUACUGUUCACAUAAAUUUAAGUGUCUUACUUUCUUUUCUGGUUUGUCCAAAAAAGAAAGUCUCUUUGCAUUUGAUAAAUUUUUUAAUCUCAACAUUCUAUGUGACAAGUUUAAGACCACAAGAUUUAAAAUCUGCAUACUUCAUUUGUCUCGUAUAAGUCAUCCACGCUAUUAAAAUAGUUGCCCCAAAUUAUUUGUCAAUUUACAAAACAAAAAAGAACUAACUAAAAUUUUAAAAAAUAACAUAAAUGCACAACUUAUCUUAUUUACACAAAUUCCUUCCAUUCUAAAAUAAUUAUAAAAAUCUCCUAAAAUAUUUUCUCUCUCUUCUAUUCUGAUACAUUGUUGAUACAUAUCACAACCCACAAAAAUCGGCUGAGCUAAAAAUAGGCUGAAAUAAUGGCAUGCAACUUUGAUUUUUUCAACUUUAGAUGAUUUUGAAUUGACGUCAUCUUCUUCUUCACUUCAUCUUUAAUUUACAAGCUACUACUCUAAGAUUUUUGAAUUGAAGUGAUCUUCUUCUUCACUUUAUUUUCAAUUUACAAGUUUCUACUCUUUUUUCAAUCUCAUCUAUUUUUGUGAAAAUAAAUUUAAUCACCUCAACGACCCCGCAAUGAUAAAGAAGUUACAAAAGAAAUUGAUCGAAACAUAAAAAUAAAUCAAUGACGUCAUCUUCAAAAACAAAAUCUAAAGAGAACACAUCACGAUGGCCUUCACCAAAGGUAUGCCAAAAAGUAUCAUUAGUUCUAUUGUGCUUCUGAUAAUUUGAAAUGACAAAUCGUAUUCCAAAUCUCCUAGUCAAUUAUGUAUCAUCAACUGAUUUGUGCAUUAUGAUACAUUACAUUUAUGUAUGAGAUCACACCAUAGCCAUAUGGAUUGAUUGGCAUGACAAAAAAAUACAUUUUUAUUUAUAUAUCAAAUCUUAUCAUUGUCGUUCAGAUACAUAAUAGUUGAAAAGAUACAUAUAAUUUAUUUAUCAGUUCACCUCAAAUGCUUUGCAGAUACAUACAUAAAAAAAAAGAUACAUGACAUUUAUGUACCUUUUCUUAGAAAGAUACAUAUCCUAUGUUAUACUAUGUUAUACAAAGGGGGUCCUCCUAUUACCCCCUGAACUAGAUUUUAGCGUAUUUUUAUCAAUCUUUUUAGCUGAUGUGACACCUUUGACAUGAGCCUCAUUUUAUAUAAUAAAGGUGCCAAAUCAACAUAAAAAGGUAAAAAAAAUAUGUUAAAAUUGAGCUCAGAGGGUAAUAGGGUCCCUGUCAAGUUGGAGUGUGUCGUAGCAACUCUGAUCAUAGUUCGGGAGGUACUAGAUGUUUAUCUCUUUUUGUUAAUUACAAUUUUUAAUGUUUGCAGGGCAUGGAAUGUUCAUUGUGAUUACAUAAUAAGAUUCAAAAAAGUGAAAAACACAGAUUGUGAAUUUUGUUAGAAUUCGAACAAAUUAGCUUGAUUCUAUAUAAGAAAUUUGAUUCUGCAUUCUGUUUCUGUUUUUAAGGGGUGAAACAACCAUAUUCCAAUCACUAUUUCGUUAAUUGCUCCUUGAAUAGUACUAGUUUAGUUAGUUGUUGUUUUUAAAAUUCUUUUUUUUUUUAAAAUGUUUCUUCAGCAAAUUUAUCUUUACACAUUUAUGUAUUAGGUGAGCAUAAAAGAAGGAGUUUUCUGUAAUUAUGAUAAAUAUCAAUUUUUUUUUGUAAUUAUGAUAGAUAUCAAAAUUUUCUGUAAUUAUGGCUCAAACUAUCGGUAUUUAUGAAAUUGCCCAAAAUUUUCAUUUUAUCCUUGCAAAUGAAAUUCCUUUUUAAGUGUAUACAAAUUAUAAAUUUUUUAAAAAAUUUCGUAACGGUUACAUUAGUAAAAUUAUUCUUCUUAUUUAUGAUUUCUUAAGGACGUGUAAAGGAUAAAGUGAACAACUAAUAUGAUAAUUUAAAAUCAUAAAAUUAAAAAAAAAAUUUCUUAUCAAAUUAAAAUACUUAAAUAGAGAUGGAAGGUGUACAAUAUCAAAGACUAAAGAUACACCAAUCAUUAUGAUCCAUACAACUUAAGGGGUUGUUUGACUGGGAAAUAAGUUAUCCAGAAUUACUAAUCUCAAAUUAGCUAUUCCACCUCCAAGAAGGAAUAAAAAUAACACUACGAUCCUGAGACUGCUAAUUCCGGAGUAAAUUUUCCAAUGACUUUUACCCCAAUCAAAUAUGAGACAAGUUCAUCUUCAAAAUAAUUUCAAAAUUAGUUAUCAUUUAUUCCUCCUAUCAAACGAUCCCUAAAAGCAAAAAAAAAACUGAGUGCCAAAACAACAAAAACAAAAAGGUAGAAUUUAAAAGAAAAAAGAAAGAAAAGAAAAAAAAAAGCCACGUGAAGCAACAUUAAUGCAGGAAUGACACAAGGGUGAGACUAGUAAAGCCUUUUCUUUAGGCCCUCAAAAUUUCAAGGCCUAAAAAAUUUUUGGUCUUAAUUUUAUUUUAUUUUCUUUUUGACGAUAUUAAAUAUAGUAAAAAAAAAAAACAAUCUAUCAUUCAAUAGAAAUGUUUUGAAACUUUAAAAUUUUUUAUAAUGAUAAAUAAUAUAUUUACAAAACCAUUCAAGGUAAUGUAUUGAGAACACAUGAUUUAACAUCUUAUUAACUUGAAUCAACCAUUACUAUUAUAAAGAAAAAUAUUAUUAUGUGAAAUAUAAUACUAUAAUAAAAACAAUUAUAAAAAAUUAAGAAAAAUGCAAUAUUAAAUUUUUAUUUAUUAUGUAUAUGUAUAUUUUUAAGACAUUAGAUUAAAAUUUAAUUUUUACACUACUAAUUUAUUGAGACGUCCUUACAAUAAAGAAUGAAAAAUUUUGUGAAGACUAUCAAAACUUUAUAACUUCCUUAUAUAUAAAUAUAGUAAUAUAAUAUGCUGAAUAAUAGUCAUUGUAUGUUGGUGUUUUUGGGUAAAAGACAUUGGUCAACAUUAAAACCGAGUAUUGUUCAACAUUAUAGCGUAAUGGAUAGACUUUCCUCUUUUAAACACUUAGGAAAGCCAUAGAGUUUUUUUUCUUUUUACUCUUCUAGCAAGUGAUGGAUUGUAGCAUAGCCAAUACUUGCGUAUUGCACCCCUCUUGUUAUUUAAAGACAUUUAAAAUUUUGAGAAUAUGAAUAUACUAUUAUAAAAAGAAUUUUGAGAAUAUGAAUAUAUUAUUAUAAAAAUAUUUGACAGAAGCUUUAAUGUAGUGAGCUGCUCUUUUAUCUAUUUUACUUUAUGCAUGUAAGUAUAUUGUACUCGAUAUGAUUUUUUAUUUUUUAUUUUCCACCUGGCGUUCGAUACUCGAAUUGGAGCCCCGACUAAUUUAAAUCGCACAUUGUAAGAGCCAUUAUAGGGUAGCGCUCCAUACCCAGAGCUCGAACUCGAGACCUCUGAUUAAGGGUGGAACAAUCCCACUACUGCACGACAACCCAUGUUGGUUACUCGAUAUGAUUUCUAAUAACUCAUAGAUUAUAUGUUUGGUCUCUCAAAAGUUGUGUCUUGCAAUCAAUUUUUGUUGUUUUAUAUACUGCACUUGCAUAGUAGUUGUUAGUCCCAUAUUCUCACUAUAUGUUUUAAUAAAGACAAACUAAUAAACAAAUAUCUUGCAGGAUAUAUUGAAGAUAUAGAAGAUCAAAAAGAUCCUUGAGGAAUCCAUCAGAAGAUCCCAGAAAGGAAGCAAGGAUUCACUCACAAGAAAGCCGAAUGAUAUCAAUCACAGAGAUCAUCGACUUCCCAGAUUUAUGACAAAUGAAUCAAUCAAGACAAAACCAAAAGGAAAGAAGAUCACACCAUCUACAUGAAAAUAUCUAAUAUGGACAUGUACAAUUGUGAAGGCUGCACCACAUACGGAUAUAUCUGAUAUGGACAUACUUUACGGUGCAAUCCCUCAAUCAAGAAAUUAUUUUUAAAUCCUUGAUUGAGAAGAAAUCUCUUGGGUUUCCUUACAAAGAAUAGCACCUGAAGAUUAUACAAGAAGAAAACUGAAGAUCAAAGCACGUACGCAACUUCAAGAAAGAAUCUCAGAGUGUCUUAAUUUUAGUCUCACAAAGUUUUAUACUUCUUAGUUUACAAUAGUUAUACAAGAAUAAGAUCGAGUCAACUUUGUAAUACAAACUGACGCUGUGUCACAAGUCUGAAAAGCAAAAUAAGUUUUCAGAAUUUGUUUACCACCAUUGUACUCGGGCUCCACUUUGUAAAGAUUUAAAGAAACACUGUAACCUAAGGGGACUGGAAGUAGGCACCACAUUGGUGUUUUGAACCAG